AUGACUCAGUCCCCGGAAUCUCUGGCAGUACCAGUGGGAGGGAGAGUCUCUAUCAACUGCAAAGCCAGUACAAGCAUUAGCAAUUACUUAAACUGGUACCAACAGAAACCUGGACAAGCUCCCAAACUUCUUAUCUACGACGCUAGCACCCUCCAGUCUGGGGUCCCAGCCCGGUUCAGCGGCAGUGGGUCUGGCACUGAUUUCACAUUGACAAUCAGCAGCGUAGAAGCAGAUGAUGCUGGAGAUUAUUACUGCCAGAAGGGUAAUGAUGUGCUUCUCACCGUGAUACAGACCAAUACAAAAACCUUCCCACUCUCUACAGCAUGCAAGGCAGUUACCGAUUGCUGCAGCUAUAUCGAAUCACCCUGCUGCCUGUGA